UACGUAGGGUGCGAGCGUUACUCGGAAUUACUGGGCGUAAAGCGUGCGCAGGCGGUUUUGUAAGCCAGAUGUGAAAUCCCCGGGCUUAACCUGGGAAUGGCAUUUGGGACUGCAAGGCUGGAGUGUGGCAGAGGAGACUGGAAUUCCUGGUGUAGCAGUGAAAUGCGUAGAUAUCAGGAGGAACACCGGUGGCGAAGGCGGGUCUCUGGGCCGUAACUGACGCUGAGGAGCGAAAGCAUGGGGAGCGAACAGG
rnacentral:rRNA from 1 species